AGGUUUGACAUCUACAGGAAGGUGCCCAAGGACCUUACGCAGCCAACGUAUACCGGAGCCAUUAUCUCUAUCUGCUGCUGCCUCUUCAUCCUCUUCCUCUUCCUCUCGGAGCUCACCGGAUUCAUAACGACAGAAGUUGUGAACGAGCUCUAUGUCGAUGACCCGGACAAGGACAGCGGGGGCAAAAUCGAUGUCAGUCUGAACAUCAGUUUACCCAAUUUGCACU